rnacentral:rRNA from 1 species
AAUAGCUCACUGGUCGAGUGAUCCUGCGCCGAAGAUUUCCGGGGCGAAAACUUACUACCGACGCUACGGCAUCAGUAAUGAUGGGUAGGGGAGCUUCCCAUAAGGGUGGAAGCAUGACCGUAAGGACAGGUGGAAAGUAUGGGAGUGAGAAUGUUGGCAUGAGUAGCGAGAUGUGGGUGAGAAUCCCACAGGCCGUAAACCCAAGGUUU